rnacentral:ncRNA from 1 species
UUGAUUGAUUUUGGUUUAUGAUCGUUUUAGAAAAAACUAUUACAAAAGAAACGCGGUGCAAAUCUGCGACAGUUUCUUUGCUACUGUAAGGAGUAUAUGGACGUAUUCAGUCAUUGGGUUAACCGAGAAGGCUGUAUACCGAACGUCCCUCCAAGUCAGGAUAUUUUUGUAAAAGUACUAUCUGUU